AUUGAACGCUGGCGGCAUGCUUUACACAUGCGAGUCGAACGGUAACAGGCCGCAGGGUGCUGACGAGUGGCGAACGGGUGAGUAAUGCAUCGGAACGUGCCCAGUCGUGGGGGAUAACUACUCGAAAGAGUAGCUAAUACCGCAUACGAUCUAUGGAUGAAAGCGGGGGACCGUAAGGCCUCGCGCGAUUGGAGCGGCCGAUGUCAGAUUAGGUAGUUGGUGGGGUAAAGGCUCACCAAGCCAACGAUCUGUAGCUGGUCUGAGAGGACGACCAGCCACACUGGGACUGAGACACGGCCCAGACUCCUACGGGAGGCAGCAGUGGGGAAUUUUGGACAAUGGGCGCAAGCCUGAUCCAGCAAUGCCGCGUGCAGGAAGAAGGCCUUCGGGUUGUAAACUGCUUUUGUACGGAACGAAACGGCUCUGGUUAAUACCCGGGGCUAAUGACGGUACCGUAAGAAUAAGCACCGGCUAACUACGUG
rnacentral:rRNA from 1 species